AGUCUGUCUUAAAAGUUCGGGGCUUAACCCCGUGAUGGGAUGGAAACUGCCAAUCUAGAGUAUCGGAGAGGAAAGUGGAAUUCCUAGUGUAGCGGUGAAAUGCGUAGAUAUUAGGAAGAACACCAGUGGCGAAGGCGACUUUCUGGACGAAAACUGACGCUGAGGCGCGAAAGCCAGGGGAGCGAACGGGAUUAGAUACCCCGGUAGUCCUGGCCGUAAACGAUGGGUACUAGGUGUAGGAGGUAUCGACCCCUUCUGUGCCGGAGUUAACGCAAUAAGUACCCCGCCUGGGGAGUACGACCGCAAGGUUGAAACUCAAAGGAAUUGACGGGGGCCCGCACAAGCGGUGGAGUAUGUGGUUUAAUUCGACGCAACGCGAAGAACCUUACCAGGUCUUGACAU
rnacentral:rRNA from 1 species